rnacentral:rRNA from 1 species
AUUGAACGCUGGCGGCAUGCUUUACACAUGCAAGUCGAACGGUAACAGGCCGCAAGGUGCUGACGAGUGGCGAACGGGUGAGUAAUGCAUCGGAACGUGCCCAGUCGUGGGGGAUAACGCAGCGAAAGCUGCGCUAAUACCGCAUACGAUCUCUGGAUGAAAGCGGGGGACCGAAAGGCCUCGCGCGAUUGGAGCGGCCGAUGUCAGAUUAGGUAGUUGGUGGGGUAAAGGCCCACCAAGCCAACGAUCUGUAGCUGGUCUGAGAGGACGACCAGGCACACUGGGACGGAGACACGGCCCAGACUCCUACGGGAGGCAGCAGUGGGGAAUUUUGGACAAUGGGCGCAAGCCUGAUCCAGCAAUGCCGCGUGCAGGAAGAAGGCCUUCGGGUUGUAAACUGCUUUUGUACGGAACGAAACGGCUCUGGUUAAUACCUGGGGCUAAUGACGGUACCGUAAGAAUAAGCACCGGCUAACUACGUGCCAGCAGCCGCCGUAAUAC